rnacentral:rRNA from 1 species
AGAAUCAACGCUGGCGGCGUGCCUAACACAUGCAAGUCGCACGAGAAAGUGGAGCAAUCCACGAGUACAGUGGCGCACGGGUGAGUAACACGUGAAUGAUCUACCUCCGAGUGGGGAAUAACUGAGAGAAAUCUUAGCUAAUACCGCAUAAUACCCGCGGGUCAAAGCAGCAAUGCGCUUGGAGAGGAGUUCGCGGCCGAUUAGCUAGUUGGCGGGGUAAUGGCCCACCAAGGCGAUGAUCGGUA